AAUGAAUCUCACUCAGGCUUCAUCAAACUGCAGUACACACAUUUCAGUUACACAUUCUUGCAGUGAUGUAAUGCAUUUCUUACAGUAUACAUUCAAGCAUAUAUGUGAUACAAUGAAUUUCACUCAGUGACACGUGAAAUGUGGCUUCAUCAAACUGCAAUACACACAUUCAGUUACACAUUCUUGCAAUGAUACUAUGCAAUUCUUGCAGUACACAUUCAGGCAUGUGAUACAAUGAAUCUCAGAAUCUUGCAAUGCCCAGAGUCUCAGAACCCAAAUUUCAUUUUUCAAAUGCAAUUCUCAUAAGUUCUUGUGAUACAAAGAAACUCAGAAUAUAAGUCAACUUCAGCUCCUUCUUGCAGUGACCAGGCGUGUAUGUGAUAUAAAGAAUCUCAUAUUUUCGCUUCUUACUGAAAAUUCAAAAAAUACACAAAUUUUAUCUACCCAUUUCGAUAUACCCAUGUAAACUACAAUUAAAGUGGCUUCGACAUACCCACGAAAACUACAUAUCAGAAGCACCUAAUUUACUUGCCGAUUUCACCGGAGAAGAUUGUUGUUGCAGCUUCGAAGGUUGAACAAAAUUAUCGAGAUAAAUCGGAUAACUGUAACUUCUUGGACUCCGGCUGCAGCGGCGUUGAGUUCUACACUAGAGGAGGAGAAGGAUGAAGAUGGGACAGAGAGAAGAGAUGGAGCUUCGAUCGCCUUCGAUUCGCCUUCCAGUCGCGUCUCUGCGUCUCGUCUGAGAAUUGGGAAAAUACAAUGGGUUGGGCCGGGGCAUGAUUCUAUGCCAGGUCUUCAAAUAUCAUUUCAUUUGGUGUCGUUUAUUUUAGUCUUUUUUUUCCACCUCACUCUGUCAUCCGGUUCUGUACGAGUAGCAGAACAGGAGAAAUAAAGGUUGGCCUGUCGAUGAAAUUGUAAUUGGCGCCACCGCCGCCACUCUAAAAAGCUAAUCUCAUCCCUUCUCGAACACUGUCAAUACCUCUAUCUCAACAUUUGCUUUGCCUCUUCUCUUCCAUAUACGACAAUUUCAACAACAAAGAACCUGCAAAAAAUGAUGUGGCGUUUUUUCCUUGAACUCUCCGACGUGAAAAUUAGUAGGAGAAGACGACGGAAUAUUGAGUAUAAAACUGCGUAUUUGAUUUUGAGUGUGAAACUUGGGAAUCUAACUUUAUACAUGAGAGAACCCUUCUCUAUUUACAAUAGCUAGUUGAACACGUGUCUUCAUCUCUCGAUCACACACUAGCGUUUUCGAAUAGUUAGGAGUGAACUGUUAAAAUGUUGCCACUUACCCCCAUUAAUUUUCAUUACAUUAACUUUCAUUUUUAUCUUUCCUAUUUUCAGCCACAUAAUCUUCUAUAAAAUAAUAAUAUACGUAAAUUAAAAAAAUUUCCUUAUUUUUUAACAACUCAUUUUUCAAAAAAAAAAAUAAUUAUUCCACCCAUUUUCAUUUUCACAAAAUGGGGGCCAAACGAGAGUUUACAUAUAACAGGUUACUUGACGUAGGGGUAAAAUUAUAACUUCCUCUUUGGGUCGAAAGAAUACGAAUUCUCAGGAAUUGAAUUACCUGGAACUUGUUUUACUGAGAAUUGUUAAUUAAAUGUGUUUGAUUGGUAUAAUUUUCUACCUGAAAAAUGUUGAAAUUUUGAAUGUUUUGGUAUACGUUUGGC
rnacentral:lncRNA from 1 species